rnacentral:misc_RNA from 1 species
AAGUCGUAACAAGGUUUCCGUAGGUGAACCUGCGGAAGGAUCAUUAACACAAUUUUACUGUGAUAAAAUCCGUUGAAUUCGCAACUCGAAUUCAAUGGUAUCCACCCCAUUAUUGACGAACUUUUCUUAGAUGUUUUAAAAAAAACAUAGAGCUUUAAAUCUUUACGUUUUUUGAGAACAUUCUAAAAACCUUUUUCUUUACCCUAUAACAUUUUCAACCCCUUUUACAACAUGUCUUAGACUGAAAUGAAAAUUUUUCUAUCAAAAAAUUGAUAAAAACAACUUUUAACAACGGAUAUCUUGGCUCUC